UACGGGAGGCAGCAGUGGGGAAUAUUGCACAAUGGGCGCAAGCCUGAUGCAGCCAUGCCGCGUGUAUUGAAGAAGGCCUUCGGGUUGUAAAGUACUUUCAGCAGUGAGGAAGGUGGGUAUGUUAAUAGCAUAUUCAUUUGACGUUAGCUGCAGAAGAAGCACCGGCUAACUCCGUGCCAGCAGCCGCGGUAAUACGGAGGGUGCGAGCGUUAAUCGGAAUUACUGGGCGUAAAGCGCAUGCAGGUGGUUUGUUAAGUCAGAUGUGAAAGCCCGGGGCUCAACCUCGGAAUUGCAUUUGAAACUGGCAAACUAGAGUACUGUAGAGGGGGUAGAAUUUCAGGUGUAGCGGUGAAAUGCGUAGAGAUCUGAAGGAAUACCGGUGGCGAAGGCGGCCCCCUGGACAGAUACUGACACUCAGAUGCGAAAGCGUGGGGAGCAAACAGGAUUAGAUACCCUGGUAG
rnacentral:rRNA from 1 species